GAUGAACGCUGGCGGCGUGCUUAACACAUGCAAGUCGAACGGGAAACCUUUUAUUGAAGCUUCGGCAGAUUUAGCUGGUUUCUAGUGGCGGACGGGUGAGUAACGCGUGGGUAACCUGCCUUAUACAGGGGGAUAACAGUCAGAAAUGGCUGCUAAUACCGCAUAAGCGCACAGAGCUGCAUGGCUCAGUGUGAAAAACUCCGGUGGUAUAAGAUGGACCCGCGUUGGAUUAGCUGGUUGGUGGGGUAACGGCCCACCAAGGCGACGAUCCAUAGCCGGCCUGAGAGGGUGAACGGCCACAUUGGGACUGAGACACGGCCCAGACUCCUACGGGAGGCAGCAGUGGGGAAUAUUGCACAAUGGGGCAAACCCUGAUGCAGCGACGCCGCGUGAAGGAAGAAGUAUCUCGGUAUGUAAACUUCUAUCAGCAGGGAAGAUAAUGACGGUACCUGACGAAGAAGCCCCGGCUAACUACGUG
rnacentral:rRNA from 1 species